rnacentral:rRNA from 1 species
GGGGAUAACGAGUCGACGAUUGAAGCCCCCAACGUUCUGCCAGACACUGGACAGGGAUAUCUGGAUAGAUGGAUGGAUCUAUCUUUCUAUUCAGAUAUCUUUUGCAAUCAGCCCCAAAUCCUUGAUUUGGCCAGGAAACAAAGCACUGCUUUGGGCCCAGGAAGCGAAGUGAAUGAGCUCGGCUGCUUCUCCCCCACACUUCUUUAUUUCUCCGUGCCCCUUCCGCAUGCGCUUCGCACGCCAUUGGCGCUUUUCUCUCCUCUUAUUUCUUCAUUGGAGGGUUCGGAUGGACUUCGCCGUUCUUUCCCAACGAAAAUGGAAAGGGCUGUAUCACAUCGAGAUGUCGAUUCGUUUUCCGCCCCAAAUGAGAUGGGGAAUUAG